CGGGUGAGUAACGCGUGGGUAAUCUACCCCCGGAUUCGGGAUAACCCUCCGAAAGGGGUGCUAAUACCGGAUGAUAUCACCAUCACUUUGGUGUUGAUGAUGAAAGGUGGCCUCUCCAUGGAAGCUACUGUUUGGGGAUGAGCCCGCGUACCAUUAGCUGGUUGGUGGGGUAACGGCCUACCAAGGCUGCGAUGGUUAGCUGGUCUGAGAGGAUGAUCAGCCACACUGGAACUGACACACGGUCCAGACUCCUACGGGAGGCAGCAGUGAGGAAUUUUGCGCAAUGGGGGGAACCCUGACGCAGCAACGCCGCGUGAGUGAAGAAGGCUUUCGGGUCGUAAAGCUCUGUCUUGUGGGAAGAACUUUCGGAUGGUGAAUAUCCAUUUGGAUUGACGGUACCACAGAAGGAAGCACCGGCUAACUCCGUGCCAGCAGCCGCGGUAAUACGGAGGGUGCGAGCGUUAUUCGGAAUUAUUGGGCGUAAAGAGCGCGUAGGCGGCCGUACAAGUCAGGUGUGAAAUCCCGGGGCUCAACCCCGGAAGAGCAUUUGAUACUGUAUGGCUUGAGUAUGGGAGAGGGAAGUGGAAUUCCUGGUGUAGCGGUGAAAUGCGUAGAUAUCAGGAGGAACACCGGUGGCGAAGGCGGCUUCCUGGACCAAUACUGACGCUGAGGCGCGAAGGCGUGGGGAGCAAACAGGAUUAGAUACCCUGGUAGUCCACGCAGUAAACGGUGAUCACUAGGUGUAGCGGGUAUUGACCCCUGCUGUGCCGGAGUUAACGCCAUUAA
rnacentral:rRNA from 1 species